UGGAGUUUAAAAACCCAUGUCAGAGGCUAAAAAAUCACUGUUCCUCGGACUGAAGAAGUUCUCCAAGUUCUCCAGGCCAACAUGAAAGUGAAAUUCAGCAACGUAGCAAAGACUUCUAAUACUCCAACUCUACUGAUCAUGAUGUAAAACCUCUAAAAGAAGGUAAACCGUGGACAGAUAGCAAUGAAGUUGAGUAUGUGCAAGACCAAGAUGAGUAGAUGGAAAAUGAGAAAGAAAGGAAUGAAUGGAGAAAGAGAAGGUAGACCAAGAUUCAGCAAAAAAUAACUGAAGAAAGAAAAAAUAAGAAACACAUAUCUGUGUAAUCCAAGCAGGUAACAAGGAUGGUGGAAUUACCUGGUCCUCAUCAGGAAGAGGAAACCAGAAGCAAACAUAUGCAUAGAAACCAUCAGACAGUUUCCUCUGUCAGGAUCAACUGAAGUAACAUAAGCAGGAGGUCAGAGAUCUCAGAUUUAAAAUCAGAAUGGUGUGAACCACUUGGUGCACAAUGGUGGUAACAUCACUGAUCAUCAGAGUGCCUCCAGUUACCAUUGCAAAAGUGUAUGAAUCUUGGUAAAUGUCAAAAACAUAGAGAUGUGAAUUUGUAAUCUAAAUUCUCCACACAACUGUUUUUUUUUUGUUGUUGUUCUUAAAACAAUUUAGCCUGGUAUGUCCAUGGUACAUAGGCCUAGGUCAUUCCUGUAAUGAUGAAAUUAUAAAGUACUUAACAAACCCUGUAUACUGGGUUAAAAAAAAAACAGGAAAUAGAACUGCCAUAGAAACCUUACCACAGACAGUGGAACACCUGUCCAAAAAUUAAGAGGUAAAAUCAAAGUUAUGAUAAUUUGAAUCAAAGUUUUAACAGAAAGUCUAAAAUUUAGUAUCUGUCUUUCUCAUAAUCAAGAAAACAAAAGGAAGAAAAAGUAUGAUACAAAUUAUAACAAUAAUUUAAAAUAAUAAACUAAAAACUUCUGCAAUUCUUAAGAACAAGUUAGUGCCAAGGAAAAGAAUGAGACUUUGUUGAAAUGCUAGGCUCAUGAAGGAUACGUUGCAUUCCUAUUGGUAGAGGGUUAGAUUAUAUCACAGGCAGGCACAAACCACAUUAAUAUGUGUAGAGAUGGAAGUUUCAUACAAGGCUUGUGGCAUGCAUAAAAUACUCCUUGGCCAUGGUGUGAGAUAAUAGCUGUUUGUUCUGUAGAAAAGUGAAUAAUGUUUCUAAAAUACAGAAUUUAAGUGAAAGACAUACUUGACAAUUUUGGUGUGGUUAAUGUGAUGGCAAGCAAGGUGAAUCAUGAAUCAGUUUUAAGAAAGGUCCCAACUGACUGAUAGCUAAUAUCAGGAGAUUGACUAGGUAUGAAAUGCAAAUGCAUCAUUAAAAAUGUGACAAACCACCUCAGUACAAAUUUUACAAGAUAUGCAGUUGUACAACAAAAGUUUUUAAUUUUAUAUUGGUCAAUUGAAAAUCAAUCUAAAAAUAUGAUAAAGUACA